rnacentral:rRNA from 1 species
GACAGAGGGGGCAAGCGUUGCUCGGAAUUACUGGGCGUAAAGGGCGCGUAGGCGGGAUGGCAAGUCGGUCGUGAAAUCCUUCGGCUCAACCGAAGAACGUCGAUCGAUACUGCUGUUCUUGAGGAUUGCAGAGGAGACUGGAAUUCCCGGUGUAGCGGUGAAAUGUGUAGAGAUCGGGAGGAACACCGGUGGCGAAGGCGGGUCUCUGGGCAAUUCCUGACGCUGAGGCGCGAAAGCGUGGGGAGCAAACAGG